UGGCGGCCGCGGGAAUUCGAUUAGAGUUUGAUCAUGGCUCAGGAUAAACGCUAGCGGCGUGCCUUAUGCAUGCAAGUCGAGCGGUAUAUCGAAAGGUAUACAGCGGCAAACGGCUGAGUAACGCGUAAGCAAUCUAUCCCUAAGUGGGGAAUAAUCCGCCGAAAGGUGGACUAAUACCGCAUGUGGUAGUGGAGGUAGGUUUUCACUACUAAAGCUUUCGGGCGCUUGGGGAGGGGCUUGCGUCCUAUCAGGUAGUUGGUGGGGUAACGGCUCACCAAGCCAAUGACGGGUAGCUGGUUUGAGAGGACGUCCAGCCAGACGGGGACUGAGACACGGCCCCGACUCCUACGGGAGGCAGCAGCAAGGAAUUUUGCGCAAUGGGCGAAAGCCUGACGCAGCAACGCCGCGUGAGGGAAGAAGGCCUUCGGGUUGUAAACCUCUUUUGUCAGGGAAGAAAAAUGACGGUACCUGAUGAAUAAGUCACGGCUAACUACGUGCCAGCAGCCGCGGUAAUACGUAGGUGGCAAGCGUUAUCCGGAUUCACUGGGCGUAAAGAGCGCGUAGGUGGUCCUUCAAGUCAGAUGUUAAAUCUCCUGGCUUAACUGGGAGCUGUCAUCUGAUACUGCUGGACUUGAGGGUGGUAGAGGGAGGUGGAAUUCCCGGUGUAGUGGUGAAAUGCGUAGAUAUCGGGAGGAACACC
rnacentral:rRNA from 1 species